CAAAACAACGUUUUCAGGGAAAUUCAUCAGCUGUGAAUUAUCAGGGAUUACGAACCAAGUGGUGCAGCUGCAGCUGGACUUCAAGAAUGUAUUGACGAUGCCCACGCCCGCUAAAGUGUUGACGGUGAUGAAACAAGCUAUCGUAAAUAAUUUGAUCACUGUGGCCAUUAAGCUGACCACCAUUACUGUCGAGGAACUGCCAACCACAACUACAACAACUGCAACACCCACAACUCCGACCACAACGCCAAC